rnacentral:misc_RNA from 1 species
CUCUCUCUCUCUCUCUCUUUUCUCCUUUCCUUCAUUUUUGUAGCUUUCAACUCUCCACUCAGCAGCUCACUUUUUCUCUAUGCUCCACUCACAUAUUCAGCAGCAAUCGCUUCUCUAUAAAAGAGAAAGAUUGCUUGCUUUAGUCAACAUAUGCCCAUACUUAGGUGUGGCUAUGUUUCUUUUUAUGUAUACAAAGAUUUUCAUCUAAUCUUUAUCCAAAA